GACGAACGCUGGCGGCGUGCUUAACACAUGCAAGUCGAACGGAAAGGCCCUGCUUUUGUGGGGUGCUCGAGUGGCGAACGGGUGAGUAACACGUGAGUAACCUGCCCUUGACUUUGGGAUAACUUCAGGAAACUGGGGCUAAUACCGGAUAGGAGCUCCUGCUGCAUGGUGGGGGUUGGAAAGUUUCGGCGGUUGGGGAUGGACUCGCGGCUUAUCAGCUUGUUGGUGGGGUAGUGGCUUACCAAGGCUUUGACGGGUAGCCGGCCUGAGAGGGUGACCGGCCACAUGGGGACUGAGAUACGGCCCAGACUCCUGCGGGAGGCAGCAGUGGGGAGUAGUGCACAAUGGGCGGAAGCCUGAUGCCGCAACGCCGCGUGCGGGAUGACGGCCUUCGGGUUGUAAACCGCUUUCGCCUGUGACGAAGCGUGAGUGACGGUAAUGGGUAAAGAAGCACCGGCUAACUACGUG
rnacentral:rRNA from 1 species